CCCUUAGAUGUUCUGGGCGGCCCGCGCACUACAUUGGCACUAGCAAAGAGAUCCUAGAUUGAAUUCUUUGGGGUAUUCUUCUAAAUGGUGUCGUGACUGGGAUAAAUCCUUGUAAUUAUUGGUUUUGAACGAGGAAUUCCUUGUAAUCGCGGUUUGUCAGCUCGCGUUGAAUGCGUCCCUGCCCUUUGUACACACCGCCCGUCGCUCCUACCGAUGGAUCGUCCGGUGAAGCUCACGGAGUGACUGUUCACGCAACGGUUUACGAAGUGAAAUGGACCUCACGAUUUAGAGGAAGGAGAAGUCGUAACA
rnacentral:rRNA from 1 species